rnacentral:rRNA from 1 species
UCAGGAUGAACGCUGGCGGCGUGCUUAAUACAUGCAAGUCGAACGAAGACAUCUCGCCGAAGCUUGCUUCAUUGAGAUAUCGUUAGUGGCGGACGGGUGAGUAACGCGUGGGUAACCUGCCUUACACAGGGGGAUAACAGUUAGAAAUGACUGCUAAUACCGCAUAAGCGCACAUUUAUCGCAUGAUAGAGUGUGAAAAGAUUUUAUCGGUGUAAGAUGGACCCGCGUCUGAUUAGCUAGUUGGUGAGGUAACGGCCCCACCAAGGCGACGAUCGGUAGCCGAACUGAGAGGUUGAUCGGCCACAUUGGGACUGAGACACGGCCCAGACUCCUACGGGAGGCAGCAGUGGGGAAUAUUGGGCAAUGGGCGAAAAAGCCUGACCCAGCAACGCCGCGUGAAGGAAGACGGUCUUCGGAUUGUAAACUUCUUUGAUUGGGGAAGAACAAAAUGACCUACCCAAAGAACAAGUCACGGCUAACUACGUGCCAGCCGCCGC